GCAGUGGGAGCACAGGUUUACCUGUGUGACUGCGUACCUUUUGUAUAAUGGGUCAGCGACUUAUAUUCUGUAGCAAGGUUAACCGUAUAGGGGAGCCGGAGGGAAACCGAGUCUUAACCGGGCGUUAAGUUGCAGGGUAUAGACCCGAAACCCGGUGAUCUAGCCAUGGGCAGGUUGAAGGUUGGGUAACACUAACUGGAGGACCGAACCGACUAAUGUUGAAAAAUUAGCGGAUGACCUGUGGCUGGGGGUGAAAGGCCAAUCAAACCGGGAGAUAGCUGGUUCUCCCCGAAAGCUAUUUAGGUAGCGCCUCGUGAAUUCAUCUCCGGGGGUAGAGCACUGUUUCGGCUAGGGGGCCAUCCCGGCUUACCAACCCGAUGCAAACUGCGAAUACCGGAGAAUGUUAUCACGGGAGACACACGGCGGGUGCUAACGUCCGUCGUGAAGAGGGAAACAACCCAGACCGCCAGCUAAGGUCCCAAAGUCAUGGUUAAGUGGGAAACGAUGUGGGAAGGCCCAGACAGCCAGGAUGUUGGCUUAGAAGCAGCCAUCAUUUAAAGAAAGCGUAAUAGCUCACUGGUCGAGUCGGCCUGCGCGGAAGAUGUAACGGGGCUAAACCAUGCACCGAAGCUGCGGCAGCGAACGUAUCACUUAAAGCGAUUCAGCGGGUUACGAUUGACGGAGCGAAGCGACGUCAAAGCGUAUACAAAGUCGAGUCGGUUUAAGGAUACGUU
rnacentral:rRNA from 1 species